rnacentral:rRNA from 1 species
UGAUCCUGGCUCAGAACGAACGCUGGCGGCAGGCUUAACACAUGCAAGUCGAGCGCCCCGCAAGGGGAGCGGCAGACGGGUGAGUAACGCGUGGGAACGUACCAUUUGCUACGGAAUAACUCAGGGAAACUUGUGCUAAUACCGUAUGUGCCCUUCGGGGGAAAGAUUUAUCGGCAAAUGAUCGGCCCGCGUUGGAUUAGCUAGUUGGUGGGGUAAAGGCUCACCAAGGCGACGAUCCAUAGCUGGUCUGAGAGGAUGAUCAGCCACACUGGGACUGAGACACGGCCCAGACUCCUACGGGAGGCAGCAGUGGGGAAUAUUGGACAAUGGGCGCAAGCCUGAUCCAGCCAUGCCGCGUGAGUGAUGAAGGCCCUAG